AGCAGCCGCGGUAAUUCCAGCUCCAAUAGCGUAUAUUUAAGUUGUUGCAGUUAAAAGCUCGUAGUUGAACCUCGGGGUCUACCCAUUGGUCAGGCUUAAUUGUCUGCACUGGUGAGAUGGAUCUCUACCUUCUGAGGAACUUUCAUGCCAUUUAUUUGGUGUGAUGGGAAAUCAGGACUGUUACUUUGAAAAAUUAGAGUGUUUAAAGCAGACUAUCGUCUGAAUACAUUAGCAUGGAAUAAUGAAAUAGGACGGACUGAUUCUAUUUCGUUGGUUUCUAGGAUCACCGUAAUGAUUAAUAGGGAUAGUUGGGGGCAUUAGUAUUCAAUUGUCAGAGGUGAAAUUCUUGGAUUUAUUGAAGACUAACUACUGCGAAAGCAUUUGCCAAGGAUGUUUUCAUUAAUCAAGAACGAAAGUUAGGGGAUCGAAGACGAUCAGAUACCGUCGUAGUCUUAACCAUAAACUAUGCCGACUAGGGAAUCGGAUGAUGUUAAUUUUUUCAAUGACUCAUUCGGCGCCU
rnacentral:rRNA from 1 species